UGAAUAAAGGAAGUAGUAAGAAUAUAAAAAUAAGAUAAAAAUUAAUACAAUAUUUUCAUUACAACACUUUAAUACAACAUGCCCAUUACAUACAACCGAUCAUAAAAUGUGAUGGUACAACUUUACAGAAUAAACAAAGCUAGAAAGCAAGAAGGUUAACGUGAGCCCAUGUACACGUUCUCAACGUCAUUCGUUAGGUAAUAAGCAACACUUAACAUCAUCUGUCAUAUUCUUCCAUGUCAUGCUCAUGAGUGAUCAAUGUACCAUGCAUCCAAAAUUACAUAUCA
rnacentral:lncRNA from 1 species